CAGUCACACAGGUCCGCAGUCCCGCUCCUCCUUCCCCUGUCAGUCACACAGGUCCGCAGUCCCGCUCCUCCUCGCCCUGUCAGUCACACAGGUCGGCAGUCCCGCUCCUCCUCGCCCUGUCAGUCACACAGGUCGGCAGUCCCGCUCCUCCUCGCCCUGUCAGUCACACAGGUCGGCAGUCCCGCUCCUCCUCGCCCUGUCAGUCACACAGGUCGGCAGUCCCGCUCCUCCUCGCCCUGUCAGUCACACAGGUCGGCAGUCCCGCUCCUCCUCGCCCUGUCAGUCACACAGGUCGGCAGUCCCGCUCCUCCUCGCCCUGUCAGUCACACAGGUCGGCAGUCCCGCUCCUCCUCGCCCUGUCAGUCACACAGGUCGGCAGUCCCGCUCCUCCUCGCCCUGUCAGUCACACAGGUCGGCAGUCCCGCUCCUCCUCGCCCUGUCAGUCACACAGGUCCGCAGUCCCGCUCCUCCUCGCCCUGUCAGUCACACAGGUCGGCAGUCCCGCUCCUCCUCGCCCUGUCAGUCACACAGGUCGGCAGUCCCGCUCCUCCUCGCCCUGUCAGUCACACAG